AGGACAUUCCUUCUGAGACAGUGAGCUCUAGGGAGAGAUGGGAGAAGAGUCUUCUUACACUUCUCUCUUCCCUUCCCUCCUAGGCUGGGUCCCCACUCUUCACCCCCUCCCCCCCAUAUGCACACUGACCCAUACAUUCCUGGAUGGUUACUUGCCUCGUGGUCACUAGAAAAUUGCCCCCAUUACAAGCUAAAGGGCCAUCAGUGUGAGUCACUGCUAUGCCCAGCGUACGUGUGUGUGUGUGUGUGUGUGUGUGUGUGGUGGGUAGGGUCAAGAGAGCACCGAGGGGCUUGGGGAAGGGGAGGUGGGCCCCAGAUAUACAGUUGUCAGAUAGGCCCUUCUUGUCCUUAAGUGUCACCACCCAGGCAUUGGGGGUUGCCUUCUCAGAGCUAGACUUGAAGGCUGUCCUGUGAAGGGGAAAGGCCCUGGACUCAGAGUCAGGUGACCCCAGGGGCAGGUGGCGUUUCCUCUCCAGGCCUCAGUUUCCUGUCUAUAAUAAUCUGUGCUCCUAUUGAGGCGAGGUGGCAGGCGAUGAGGGAAACUAAUCCUCAGAAAGUGGGCUCUUUUCCGCUGCCCUGGACUCUCUGGGGGAGUAGGAAGGGAUGGAGCCAGUUCUCCCUGUCCCAGGAACCAGCCCCUCCCUGAGCCUUCCUGGCAGGGCCUGGGGCUUAAGGGGAGCACAUUGUUCCAAGCUCCGACCUCACUCAUCCCCCAUUCCCCACAGGCCCAGGGAAGGCGGCUGCUGAGGUUUCACAUUUUCUCUCUACUGAACUAUUCACCACAGAGCCCAAGUCCAAAUAAGCAGAAAUGCUUCUGUGUGUGUGUGUGUGUGUGUGUGUGUGUGUGCGCGUGUGUGCGUGCCCAUGUACACAUGCUAUACAGACAUGGGCUGUGAGGUUCCUACCUACACAGGGAAACAUCACCCAAUGUAAGAUCCACACCCAUGGACACAGACAGUUCCAUAUAUAGCCUGGCAUAGGUGCUAAUGCACAUUUAGGGACUCACACAGGCAGACACAGGCAGGCACUAACACAGACCUAAUGUGGGCACACUCCUCAGAUGUGAUCAGACAGACACAAGCUCCCACAUGUACACACAUGUGCGGUCACCCCAGACACGGUCACAGAUGUGGACAUGCACACUCUCACAUGAACACCCGCAAAAUCUCACACGACCACAGAACUAAAUGUUGACUGUGCCAAGCCACGUGCCCGAGAUGGCUGAAUCAUGUGACCCCCAGCAAGGGAGUUUUGGGAGUCUCAGGCUUGCCUGGGGCUGAGAUAGUGCGGGCUGGGACUGGAGGAAGGGGUAAUGUGAGGACUGAGCUUUUCUGUGCAUGUGCGCUCGAGAAAGGAAGGGAGAGAGGGAAGGGCAGGUUGGCACCCACCAGAGAUUGCUUCUGUGCAGAGCAGGGUCCUGGGGGAGGGUGUGCAUUUUCUCCAGCACCCAGCCCUUUUAGUCUGGCUUUCUAGUUCCCCCUUCCGACACUGGUAACCCUUUCCUGGCCAGGACGUGAAUCCCUCAGUGAAGUGGAGAGCUGGCCUGCAGGUUCCCGCCCAGCCCCUGGCGUCUUCUGACCAGGCAGCCCGCGGUGCCGUUGCCCAACCUGGCGUGGAUGCCAGGUACUGUGUGGGCAGGAGGAAGCGAUGGCAGUGAGUGCCCCCGCCCAGGGCUGGGAUUAGCUGUGAUUGGCACCACUAAGGGCACAGCAGCCCACGGUUUGGCUGUUGGAGAUGUUGGUCUAUAGGCAGUGGCCAGAGGAUCCCUAUGAGACAGCUCAGGACACUGAAGACAAAGUGCCAGGGCUGGCGCUGAGGGCCUCUGGAGAGGAGAAGGGCAUCCCAUCACAUCCGUUUAUUUAUUACUUUCACAUUUGUUCAGUAUUUACUGAGUACCUAUUGUGUGCCCAGCCCUGUGGAUACAGAGAUAAACAAAGCCCAGUUCAUGCUCACAGAAGGUUUCUGACUAGGGGUGUGACUCCCCCAUUUAUGAAGGUAUGUCUAAGGCUUGAACUCUGAUCUGUCUCCUGAGCAUUCUCCACCUUGCAUCAAGAGAUAUAACACAAAUAUGACUAUGGGACUCCUUUGCUCAAUAUCCAUUGAUGACUCCCUACUGCUCUUAGGAUGGUUUUCCAGUUCCUUAGUGUAGCUUGAAAUGAUCCAGCCAUGUUGUCCUUAUGUCUUGAUAUGUCCAAUUCUCAUCUGUAUCCCUAAAGUCUCGCAUCGGUCCCAGGACAUUGUAGAUAUUCAGAUGUUUGCUGACUGACUGGCUGACUGAAUGAGUGGCUAAAUGAAGGAAUGCGCCAGUGAGCUAACGAACUGAGGCCUUUUUUCUGCAGCUGAGCCUCCAAGAAUGACUGCCCUGAAUUCCACUCUGGUGCCAGCUUGCUCUCGCUCCAGGCAGAGUUUCCAUGCGCCUGGACUCCUUCCCUCGGCUCCUCCUUAUUGGGGCUUGUUGUACCCAUUCUCCAGGUUUUUCUUCCUCAAGGCCUUUUUGUUCUUAAGCCCCAGCUAGACCAGGUACAUGGGAACCACAGCCCCCUACUCAGCACUGGAGGAGCUGCCCCAGGCUUAGGCCAGGUCCGAGAAUAUAAACAGAGCCCAGUGGCCAACCGGCUGAACUGUUCUCCCAGCCCUUGGCCAGCUGGAAGGCCCUCCUUGGCUGGAGCCUGCCACCGGGCUCUGGCUGGAAUUCCCUUGGCCUGUUGCCUCUCCUCAGUUCACUCAGCAUUCAAGCUUUGGCUUCCUCAGCGUCCUGGCCUGUCUGAGUUGUCCUCAGGUUUUAUUUUUGGAAGAAGCUCAUUCUCUCUCCUUAUUUACUCCCUUCUUUUAGGGAAGGUGUGGGACCCCUGGGCUCGGCUGGGGAUCAGGCUGUGACUCCAGCCCCUGGGGUCUGGACCUUUAUGGGGACUUCCAAAGACUCCUGCCCCAUCUGAUGCUUCACAGUCAGAUGCCUCUGCCCUCCUUCCCCCACUCAGUGUGUGACUAAUGCCUGCCUCUGCCCUUCUUGAAGAUCCCCACGAUAGCCAAAAGAAAUCGUUACGACUUUAGAGCUCAAAGGAAUUCUAGCAUCAUUAGGUCCAUUUCCUUUUAUUUGCAGAGGCAGUGUAGUUCAAUGGUUAUGAGUGAGGGAGAUAGACAGACCCGGUCUUAAUCCUGGCUCGGCUACCUAUUAUGUAGCCUUGGGCGCAUUACUUAACCUCUUUAAGCCUCAGUCUCAGCUAUAAAAUGGGGGCUCUUAUAUCUACCCUACCAGGUUGCUGUGAGGAUGAAAGGAGAUAACCUUUGUAAAGAGCUUUAUACAAUGCAGGACACAUAGGAGGCUCUCAUUAAAUGUAGCUAUUAUUAUUACAGAGAGGAGAACUGAGAGCCAAGGAAGGGAGUGGACUUGCCCAGGAUCACACAGCUCAAGAGAGCAAAGUUCACACCAAUACAAGAACAGAAGAGAAAAUGGUUCUGUCCCUUCUUUGACUCACUCCAGCCCCAAGAACAAAAUGAAGAUGUCCCCUCCUCUCUAAUUCUCAGUUUUUCAUCUGCACAGGGGACAACGAUGCCUCAAUAAAAGGGACAUAGCUUUA